GUUGAAACACCGAUUACCGUACGAUUACCGAAGUUAAGUAACGUUGAGCCUUGUCAGCAUCCUGAUGGGUGACCGCUUGGGAAUGCGAGGUGCUGUAAG